rnacentral:misc_RNA from 1 species
AAGUCGUAACAAGGUUUCCGUAGGUGAACCUGCGGAAGGAUCAUUAACACGUAUCCACGUAUCAACCAACUGUGAACUUGUUUUCAAUCGCCCUGCCGUCUACAUGAAUUGAAGGAGUUAAGAUAAUGAAAUGGGAAUCGAAUUCGUUCGAUUCAGUCUUAACAAACUAACUUGUGCCUGCAAUAUGGUACAGACAAUUGUAGUAGUACGGUCAGGUCAACCUUUCUGCUUGAAACUUCUCCUUUCAUGAAGUUUCGGGUAGAAUCAAUUCAACACCUAUUUCACCACCUUUUUGCUAGUUGACUUUUAUAUGUUGUCUUCUUCGUACUUCGGUACUGAGAAUUCACACGUUUAUUAAUUGAACGUUAAAUGUACAACUCUUAGCAAUGGAUAUCUUGGUUCUC